UGGGGAAUUUUGGACAAUGGGCGAAAGCCUGAUCCAGCAAUGCCGCGUGUGUGAAGAAGGCCUUCGGGUUGUAAAGCACUUUUGUCCGGAAAGAAAUCCUUGGCUCUAAUACAGUCGGGGGAUGACGGUACCGGAAGAAUAAGCACCGGCUAACUACGUGCCAGCAGCCGCGGUAAUACGUAGGGUGCAAGCGUUAAUCGGAAUUACUGGGCGUAAAGCGUGCGCAGGCGGUUUGCUAAGACCGAUGUGAAAUCCCCGGGCUCAACCUGGGAACUGCAUUGGUGACUGGCAGGCUAGAGUAUGGCAGAGGGGGGUAGAAUUCCACGUGUAGCAGUGAAAUGCGUAGAGAUGUGGAGGAAUACCGAUGGCGAAGGCAGCCCCCUGGGCCAAUACUGACGCUCAUGCACGAAAGCGUGGGGGAGCAAACAGGAUUAGAUACCCCUGGUAGUCCACGCCCUAAACGAUGCCAACUAGUUGUUGGGGAUUCAUUUCCUUAGUAACGUAGCUAACGCGUGAAGUUGACCGCCUGGGGGAGUACGGUCGCAAGAUUAAAACUCAAAUGAAUUGACGGGGUCAUAGCUGUUUCCU
rnacentral:rRNA from 1 species